CACCCUACCAAUAGUGAGGCAUUACUACUGGCCUACAUUUUUUUUAAAUGUUAGAAAAAUGCAUGAAUAUAUCUCAGUAAUAGGGUACUAUUUUACCUAGCAUGCACAAAGCCUUAGGUUCUAUCCUAAUAAAAACAAUAAAGGAGAUCUUGGAGAAUUUUGUUUUAAUCCAACAUUCCUCAAACUUCAGUAAAACAAAGAUUUAUUUUGGAGAAAAAAAAUAGCCUCUGAAGUUUGGACUGUGAAUCAUAUUAAAAUGAUAUUUAAUAUUAGGAGAGGAAAUUCUAAAAUAUUUGUGUUGCAGAUCCUAAAUUACUCAAAAGCAAAAAACAUGUUUACAUAAUGUCUUUUCUAGCAGGAAUGUCAUAACAGAUAACAGAAGGUUCCGUGGUUUAUAAAAAAUGGAAAUUUAAUGCUCAUAUUUGUAGAAGCAGAAUGGUCUAGAUCAGUGUUCACUGUCUGGUGUGGGGGUGGGGCUGCUCCCUGAUUCAUAAGUUGCCGUCAUCUUUUGUCUUCAGAGAAUAGGAGACAAAGUGAGCUCCCUGAAAUUUCUCACUGACCUUAGUCAGGAGAAUUUUGUUCCUGCGGCCUAAUCACCUCGUGGAGGCACAAUAACACCACACUGUGGUUUUAAUUUAGCAGACAGAAUCAGACAGAAAUACAUUUAGUCUAUCACAUAAAUUAUUGUAAACAUAUCCAGAGAACUGAAAGGUAAAUGAAAUUACAAUUGCAAAAAUUUACUACAACAUUCUUAAAUAAAAGUAAAACAUUAAAUGAUUUCUCUGGAGUUAGUAGACUUAUUCAUUAUUCUAUCAUUAUUUUAUGUCACAAGCUAGCAAAACUAUUAUUGGAUUCAUGUGCAAUAGCUUUUCUCUUUGAAUUUUUCUUAUUUGUGGUAUCAUAGUAUAUGUCUAGUUCUUUCUUCAGUGGGCCCCAAGUGCACCUGACCUAAUCAAGAUAAUAAUGAAGAUUGAAAUCAGAGGCUUUGUGAAGUACAUAUCCUAACAACUUAAAUUAUAACUCUAUUUAUUAGUUUGAUAUAAUCGAAAUGAAAGGCCCCAAAAUAAGAAUUUCAGUAAAAUAGUAAAAAAUUAUAUUCCAGUUAAUUAACCUGUCUCUUUGUUUUUGUCAACCUGACACAAACUACAGCAACAUGGAAAGACAGGGCCUCAGUUAGAGAAUUGUCUCCAUUAGAUGGACCUGUGGCCAUAUCUGUGAGAGCCGGAUAUGAUUGAAGAUUGAUAUGAGGGGGCCCAGUACCCUAAAGGUGGUACCAUCCCUGUGUAAGUGGUCCUUGGAGGUGUGUGUGUGUGUGUGUGUGUGUGUGUGUGUGUGUGUGCGUGCAAGCAAUUUGAGCAAGUCAGAAUGAGCAACCUCAUGUUCCUACCCUGAGUUCCCUCGCUGAUAACAUCUAAUCCUUAAGAUGAUAUAAGCUCUUAAUUCCCAAGUUGCUGCUCAUCAUGGUGGUUAUCACAACACAAGCAAACUAGAAAACACAUCUAUAUUCUUGACUCACUAAUUUCAAUGUAAUUAUUUUGGAAAUGGAGCUAAGAUGAAAGCUCUCAAAGGAUUAAAUGUUUGACUACAAUGUAAACAGUUAAAAUAAUAAUAAAAAUUUGCAUCUACAAAAAUUACGUCUACAAAAUAUAAUUAGGCUCCAGAAUGUUUGAUAUCAUCUCCUAAGUGACUCAUUUGUGUAUUUUCAAUAACAAUGUAGAGGAUCAAAACCAUCUGUGCUUCUUAGUUUUCUUUUCUUUGAAGAUUUAAUUGUUGGACUGAGGUGUUCCUUAGAGGUGUGCUGUAACAAAAGUCCAGAUUUGAUCCCUAGGGCCGCCAAACAAACAACUUCAAAAAACCUGUAAAGUCUGAUUUUUCUGUAGAAGAGUAGUUUUUAAGUAUGUGAACAAAAAAAGAAAAGCUAAGAUCAAAAGAGAAAGAGAUCUGAGAAACAUACAGAAAAUAUAGAAGGAACAAACUUUUUUCAAAUACUCUAAAGCCCUAGCUGUGUUGAACUUAUGAGGUAAGGGUCCCCCAAAAAUGUCCUUUAAGGGUUCAUUUGAUGUUAAAAACAUAAAUGUUAUAACAAUUAAAAGAAACUUCCAUGAUUAUAUUAUCUGCUACUACUGGGAAUAUAAGUAUACUUAUAUCUUAUGCCUGAAGAAACUGAAUCUCCAUAGAUGUUUGUAAUUCAGCCAAGACCAUAAAGCAAGCAAAUGUGAAAGCUAUUAUUUAAAUUGAAGCUCCCCUGGCUUCAAAUCAUGGUUUUGUCCCACAUAAUAUAUCAGUCUCUGUUUGAUGGUAUUUUAAUAGACCUACCAAUAAAACUCAUAUUGAAACCCCUGUAGCAAGGAUGUAUUAAUUAAUAUUGAAGAAGAUAAAUACCCACUUACUAAGGGAAUCCAAAAAAUUAAUCUACUGACAUAGUCACCUAAUAAAUUUUGGACUAUGAAUAUUUCAAAAUGAUAAUGCUGUAGUAAGAGGAUGAAGAGAGUUUAAAAAGGAAACAUAGUAUCUGCCAUGUGAGUUCAUGUCUCAGAGUGACUUCUCUAGACCAGAAGGUAAUUAGAAAAUAACAGGUGUUCAUCAAGAAUCACCCAGGGCACCUUGCUAUACAAGCACAUUACUGUGAGAGGAAAUGAAUACUGGGGGAAGAUUAUAAUGGGACUUUCUUUGAAUAUGCCACCAGACCAAAGAUAAAAUUAGUUACACAACAAUUUUCUAUUUGUCAUUUAAAUGAAAUCUAUGAAUAUUUGGUUUAACCCUUUAUUUUUAAUGACUAGCCCUAUACUGAUAAUUUAAAUUUUAUUUUCUCAUCUGAAAACCAUGUACAAGAUCAGGCUAGAUAGGACCACACUGACAGAGCAAGGUCUUCCUAUAUAUGUUGGUAUUUCACAGCCCAUCCCCCCCAAAAAAACCUGCUUUUUAUUCAACAAUUUCCUCUCAUAGCCUAUGUUCUAUUACCCUCUAAUACAUAUAAUGUAGCAUAUUAUUUAAUAUUUUGACUGAUUUUUGUAAGAUUUAUAUUAAUUUCCUUUUCAACAAUAUUUAUUAAAUUAAAUAUUUAUUCAGUCCAACAAGCAACAUAAAGUAAUGAUGAACAUCUAAAAAUGUCUCUGAGAUAUUUUCCAAACAUCAGAUAUAAUAGCCAAUGGGCAACCAAUAUCCCUGGUCUUGAAUUUUGUCUUAAUUGCUCUUCUAUGAAGGGACACCAUGACCAAGGCAACAUUUAAAAAGGAAAGCAUUGUAGGCCUGUUGGUAGUUUCAGAGGCUCACUCCUUUAUCCUCAUGGCAGAGAGCCUGGUGCUAGACAGGGGUGAUCCCAGAGGAAUAGCUUCUUCUUCAUCCACAAAAAGAGGGUGGGAAGAAGGAGGGGGGAAAGAGAGACAGAGACCAAUAGACUGGGCCUUGUAUGGGCUCUUGAAACCUCUAAGCCUAUCUCCAGUGCCACACUAUACUUAACAAUGCUACGCCUAUUCCAAGAAGAUCAUAAAUGAAUGAAUUUAUGGGGAUCAUUGAUAUGCAAACCACUACAGUUAUCCUUUUUAAAAAUUAUAAUUAAGUACCAGAGACAGUAUCUAAAUUAACAAAAUCAGAAUUGAAAAGAGAUAUAUCAAUAAAAACUGAGGAAAUUAAAAUAAAUCAUUAUGUAUUACUUCAAAAGCCUAUAUUCCACAGAACUAGAAAAUCUAAACAAAAUGGAUGAUUUUCUAGACAGAUACAACUUACUAAAAUUAGAUCGAGAUCAAGUAAACUAUUGAAACAGUCCCAUCACCUCUAAGAAACAGUCAUUAAAAGUCUCCC
rnacentral:lncRNA from 1 species